GGAUGCUGAGGAGUCCAACAAUAGGACAAAACGGCCGUCCAGUGC
rnacentral:hammerhead_ribozyme from 1 species